UGAUCUUCCCACUUUACAUUGAACCGGUUUAAUAUUUUCCUAAAUUUAAGGAACGUGAUCCCCACCUGUCAUUGUUUCUUCUCUUUUUCCUAUGAUGAAUCUAUUGAUCUUUCCGAUUUUACAUUGAACUGUGGGUCUCCUUUAAUGUUGAUUAGGGCCUGCUUUCUUCCACUUAUUAGUUUUUACCUACUCAUUUAUUUUCAGUUCACUCAUUGGAAGAUAAACCGGCCACUAAUUUCUUUCCACUGAAUAGGUCUAUCUUCUCAUUGAUCAAACAGGUUCGCGCAUCCCUAGACCUCUGUUCGCCGCCCUAGAGUUGUUGCUCCGACUGGGUUCGAUCCUCCUUCCGUCCUUGUCGUUUCAAAUUGCGACGCAUCAUUCCCGUUUUCCUCUCUUGCCAAAUGUACUCUAUUCCAAAUGUUUCACUUGGAUCAUGGUUGACUGGAUUAGAUGCCGUGCAUAUUGAAGAUUGAAGAUUAUGCUGCCGCACACACUUGGAUAGAAUUCUUUAUUUCCUCUUCUUUAUCUUAUAUAUCAACUUCCAAUAAUAUUAUUCUAGAUAUUCCAGAAAAUAUCGAUAGUUUUAUUUAUCUAUUUAUGCUAAUCAUCAUUGAACUCACAAUUCUCUGAGCAUUCCUAAAAUCUGAUUAUUUACUUAUCUAUUCAUUUUUUCGAAGCCGUGUCAGAAUCAGUUCAAUGGAAACCGGCUACUGGUAUGUUUUUUUUUUUCAUACUUAUUUUGGUAUUUUUUUUAAAUUAGUUCACUUAUAUCUAUUGCUUGGCUGUUUUAAUUCCUAAAUCCUAAAGUUAGUUAUAAUAAUAUUUACCCACCGUAUCACGCAGGUUACUACACUAGUUUUACUAAAUCAUGGAUAGCAUGAUCUUUAAAUAAACACAAAUAAAAUUUCUUAGUUGGAAUCAUAUCAAAGUUUCGGAUGCAGUGUUUGGAUUGGGGAUAAGGGGAGGGAUAACCCCUUAUCCCCCUUUUAUACCCAGAAGCAAAUUUUUUUUCUAGAAUAGUAGUUCUCUAGUACACGAAAUAAGCUGGUAUAACUAUCCCACCAAUAUCUCUAUUUUCUAUAUAUAACUACCCACUAUUUUUCUUAUUCCAUAUUAUCUAUCCAAAUGUUAUUUUUUUCUUAUCUCCGGGAACAACCCAAUUUUCAUCCAAACGUUAUUUUGCUUAUCCCCAUACUUGUACCUAUUCAUAUAAUAGUUAGUUCUUAUUUAUACCCGAACCAAACAGUACCUCGAGCUAGUGUUUGGAUUGGGUACAAGAGGGGGAUAAGGGGGUUAUCCCCUCUCUUGUACCCAAACACAUUUUUGGGUGGGUGGGAACAAGUGUUCCCACCUACCCAGUUUGUACCGAGUAUAGGUGGGAACAAGUGUUCCUACCUAGGGGCGGAACAACCCUCCCGGUACGAGAGAGAGAGAGAGAGAGAGAGAUAUAAAUUUUUAUUUUAAAUUUAAAUUUUAAAAAUUCAUAAUUUAUAAUUUUAAAAUUUAAAUUUAUAAUUUUAAAUUAUAAAAUUUAAAGUUUAAAAUUUAAAUUUGAUAUUUUUAAAUUUUAAUUUUUAAAUAUGAUAUUUUUAGUUUUUAAAUUUUAAAUUUGAUAUUUUAUAUCUUUCAAAUUUAAAUAUUGUUUUAAAUUUAUAAUUUGAUAUUUAAAAUUAAAAUUUUAAAAAUUAAAAUUUAAAAUUUUAAUUUAAAAUUUUAAAAUUUAAAAGUUAAAAUUUUCAAUCUAAAAUUAUAAGAUUAAAAAUUUAAAUUUAAGUUAGAGGAAUUUAAAAGUUUCUUAAAUAUAUUAAAUAUGUUGAAUGAAAACAUUUACCAACAUUACAAAUUUUUUAAAAAGUAGUACAAAAUUCCUCUAACUUAAAUUUAAAUUUUAAAAAUUCAUAAUUUAUAAUUUUAAAAUUUAAAUUUAUAAUUUUAAAUUAUAAAAUUUAAAGUUUAAAAUUUAAAUUUUAUAUUUUUAAAUUUUAAAUUUUAAAUAUGAUAUUUUUAGUUUUUAAAUUUUAAAUUUGAUAUUUUAUAUCUUUCAAAUUUAAAUAUUGUUUUAAAUUUAUAAUUUGAUAUUUAAAAUUAAAAUUUUAAAAAUUAAAAUUUAAAAUUUUAAUUUAAAAUUUUAAAAUUUAAAAGUUAAAAUUUUCAAUCUAAAAUUUAAAAUUUAAAAAUAUAAUUUCAAUUAUAGGGGUAAUAUUAUUAUUUUCUAUUUAUAACUACUAACUAUUCCUCUUAUUCCCAAAAACUAUCCAAACGCAAUUUUUCUAGUUCCAGCUUAUACUCACAAUUUCACCCAAACAAAAAAAUACUCUUGUUCCUACAAAAAUCCAUACUUGUACCUAUCCCCGGUAUAACUAGUUCCUACUAAUUCCCGAACCAAACGGAGCCUUGGGUACCGUUUGGUUCGGGUAUAAGCAAGAACUAGCUAUUACAGGGAUAGAUACAAGUACGAGGAUAAGAAAAAUAGUGUUUGGAUGAAAAUUGGGUUGUUCCCGGAGAUAAGAACAAUUUUAGAUAGUUUUAUAUAAAAAAUGAAGGUGUUGGUGGGAAUAACCGAGAACUACUAUUCUCGAAUAAAAAAUUAGUAUUUGGGUAUAAAAGGGGAUAAGGACCUGUUCCUAUUCCUCUUCCCUACCUAAAU
rnacentral:lncRNA from 1 species